ACGUGAUCUGAGUUCAGACCGGAGCAAUCCAGGUCGGUUUCUAUCUAUAAAGAGCUUUUUCUAGUACGAAAGGACCGUAAAAGCACGGCCUAUGCCCAAGGUAAGCCAUAUUCACUAAUUUAUGAUUUAAACUCAAUAAACAACUGACCUCCAACUUUAUUCUAGACAAGAAUA
rnacentral:rRNA from 1 species